rnacentral:rRNA from 1 species
GGAGUAUGUGGUUUAAUUCGACGCAACGCGCAGAACCUUACCUAGACUUGACAUCCCGGGGAUUUUCUGGAAACAGUAGAAGUGCUUUAGCAAUAAAGAACCCGGUGACAGGUGCUGCAUGGCUGUCGUCAGCUCGUGUCGUGAGAUGUUGGGUUAAGUCCCGCAACGGAGCCGCAACCCUCGCCUUUAGUUGCCAGCAUUCAGUUGGGCACUCUAGGAGGGACUGCCGGUGUCAAACCGGGAGGAAGGUGGGAUGACGUCAAGUCCUCAUGGCCUUUAUGUCUAGGGCUACACACGUACUACAAUGGCCGGUACAAAGGGCAGCCACUCAGCGAUGAGGCGCUAAUCCCAUAAAGCCGGUCUCAGUCCGGAUCGCAGUCUGCAACUCGACUGCGUGAAGUUGGAAUCGCUAGUAAUCGUAGAUCAGCAUGCUACGGUGAAUACGUUCCCGGGCCUU